rnacentral:rRNA from 1 species
ACGGCCUAAAGCGUGGUUAAAUAAUAUUAAAAUUAAUAGAAAUAAAAAUUAACUUAACUGUUGUACGUAUUUGUUAAACGGAUCCCCAAAACCGAAAGAUAUUCUAAUAAACAAAUUACUUGAAUCCACGAAAGCUAAGAAACAAACUAGGAUUAGAUACCCUAUUAUGCUUAGCCUUAAACUUUGGAAUCCCGCCUGAGUACUACGAGCCACAGCUUAAAACUCAAAGGACUUGGCGGUGCUCUACACCCCCCUAGAGGAGCCUGUUCUAUAAUUGAUAAUCCCCGCUAAACCUCACCACUUAUUGCCAAUACCGCCUAUAUACCGCCGUCGUCAGCUCACCAUUUGAAUGAAUAAUAGUAGGCAUAAUGAUAAACAUAAAAACGUCAGGUCAAGGUGUAGCGAAUUAAGUGGAAAGAAAUGGGCUACAUUUUCUAUAUAGAAAAUACGAAAAAUCUUAUGAAAAAAAAUUUAAAGGUGGAUUUAGCAGUAAAAAGAAAACAUAGUGUUCUUUUUAAAUAGGCCCUAGAGCGCGCACACACCGCCCAUCACCCUCCUCAAAAAAAUUUAAUAAUAUAAUUUAAUAAAAACAAAAGAAGAGGUAAGUCGUAACAUGGUAAGUUUACCGGAAGGUGUACUUGGAUUAU